rnacentral:rRNA from 1 species
UACGUAGGUGACCAGCGUUGUCCGGAUUUACUGGGCGUAAAGAGCGCGCAGGCGGUCGUUCAAGUCGAGUGUGAAAGCCCCCGGCUCAACUGGGGAGGGUCAUUCGAUACUGAUCGACUGGAAGGCAGGAGAGGGAAGCGGAAUUCCCGGUGUAGUGGUGAAAUGCGUAGAUAUCGGGAGGAACACCAGUGGCGAAGGCGGCGAUCUGGGUAGAUACUGACGCUGAGGUGCGAAAGCGUGGGGAGCAAACAGG